rnacentral:rRNA from 1 species
GUUUAUAACCUGGGCCGAAAGGUCUGGGUAAUCUUGUGAAAUUUCAUCGUGAUGGGGAUAGAUUAUUGCAAUUAUUAAUCUUCAACGAGGAAUGCCUAGUAAGCGCGAGUCAUCAGCUCGCGUUGAUUACGUCCCUGCCCUUUGUACACACCGCCCGUCGCUCCUACCGAUUGAAUGAUCCGGUGAAGUUUUCGGAUUGCGGCUACUCCGGCGGUCCGCCGCCGAAGAAGCUGUGAGAAGUUCAUUAAACCUUAUCAUUUAGAGGAAGGAGAAGUCGUAACAAGGUUUCCGUAGGUGAACCUGCGGAAGGAUCAUUGACACACAUCCUAACCGAUGCUUGUGCCAACAAGCAGACCCAGCGAACCAUUCUCCUACCACUUGAGGGGCUGCAUCGCGAGGUGCAGCUGUCGACGGUCGGGCCCUAGUUUUAUCGGGGCCGGAGUCCUUGCUGGGCUCACCGUUGCGGGUGAGCAUCGGCCGUUCGACGGGGGCCGCUCUUGGGCCUCGCACACGGGAGAGUGCGAGGGCGGCGUUUCCCACUCCAGCUGUCCCUUCGGGGGCGGCUGCGCAACCAACCAAACACAAUGCAAAAACCGACUAAAGACCGAUCCUUUGCGGGGCGCUCUUCGGGGAGCUCCGCUUUCGAUCAAAAACAAACUAAAGACAACUCUCAACAACGGAUAUCUUGGCUCUCGCAACGAUGAAGAACGCAGCGAAAUGCGAUACGUAGUGUGAAUUGCAGAAUUCCGUGAAUCAUCGAAUCUUUGAACGCAUAUUGCGCCCGCGGCCUCGGCCAAGGGCAUGUCUGCCUGAGCGUCAUUAUAACACCUCACACCCAUUGCGGGUUGUGGAUCUGGCCGUCCGGGCUCCUGGAGCGUGGUUGGCUGAAAGGUAGAUGCAAAGCCAGCAGCCCAUUCAACGGCAAGGCGUGGUAGACCGCAUCGCGGGCGAUCGUCGUGCCGGGGCUGAUUGCGGCUUUUGCAUUAGCAGGAACCGCCGCUCCCGACGGACUUCGGUCCUGAAGGUGUCGGCCUUGACCCAUUGACCUCAGAUCAGGCAAGAUUACCCGCCGAAUUUAAGCAUAUUACUAAGCGGAGGAAAAGAAACUAACAAGGAUUCCCCUAGUAACGGCGAGCGAACCGGGAAGAGCCCAACUUGAAAAUCUGGCAGCUUCGCUGUCCGAAUUGUAGUCUAAAGAAGCGUCCUCUGUAGCGGACCGGGCCCAAGUUCCCUGGAAUGGGACGUCAGAGAGGGUGAGAGCCCCGUCGACCCCGGACCCUGCUACUCCACGAGGCGCUGUCGCCGAGUCGGGUUGUUUGGGAAUGCAGCCCUAAAUGGGUGGUAAAUUCCAUCUAAGGCUAAAUACUGGCGAGAGACCGAUAGCGA